UGGCUGGAGACUGGGAGGCUCUGGCUGAGUGGGUAUGUGGGGGCGGAGUAUUUUGAACUCUCUUCAGUAAAGGUUUACAAGAAAAAUGUGUAUUUUUAUCAUAAAAGAAAACAUGCCUGUCAUCAUUAACAGCCAAUAACGACUACCUCUCACUAUGUAUACUGCAUCAGGCAAAGCUCUUUACAUUCAUAAUUUCACAGUAAAUCGCAUUGUGAACGUUGCAUGACUACAGAUGAGGUACGUAUUUCUAAGUCCCUUUGGCAUACGGAGAAAGCAAGGAUGUGCAGCCGGUGGUUCUUCACCUUGUUGGGUCACAGAGCCUUCAAGGAGUCUAAGUCUAAGCUGUAGACCUUCUCUUCAGAAAAAUACUAAUAAGCUCAUUCACACUAAAAUGUAUAGAUGAUUUCAAAGAGAAGUCUGCAGUUACCUGAGGUGGCGCAGUGGUUAAGAAUCCGCCUGCCAAUGAAGGGGAUACGGGUUUGAGCCCUGGUCCAGGAAGAUCCCACAUGCCAUGGAGCAGGUAAGCCUGUGCACCACAACUACUGAGCCUGCAUUCUAGAGCCUGUGAGCCACAGCUGCUGAGCCCAUGUGCCACAACUACUGAAAUCCAUGCACCUACGGCUCGUGCUCCGCAACAAGAGAAGCCACCGCAAUGAGAAGUCCGUGCACCGCAACGAAGAGUAGCCCCCACUGGCCGCAACUAGAGAAAGCCUGCACGCAGCAAUGAAGACCCAACGCAGCCAAAAAUAAAAAUAAAACAAAAUAAAUAAAUUUAUUUAAAAAAAGAUACAUCUUAAGAGAAUGGAAAGAAGCCACAGACUGGGAAAGAUACUCGCAAAACACAUAUCUGAUAAAAGAUGUGUAUCCAAGACGUGCAAAGAACUCUUAAAAUUCAACAAUAAAAAGAACUCAAUUUAAAAAGGGCAAAAGAUCCGAACAGACACCUCACCGAAGAGGAUAUACAGAUGGCAAAUGAGCAUAUGAAAGAUGCUCAACAUUGUAUGUCAUUAGAGAGUUGCAAAUUGAAAAACAUUAAGAUACCACUACAUACAUGUUAGAACGGCUGAGCUCUAAAAUACUGACAACACUAAAUGCUGGAGAGGAUGUGGAACAAUAGGAACUCUCAUUCAUUGCUGGUGGGAAUGCAAAAUGGUACAGCCACUUUGGAAGACAGUUACCUAUUUCUCAUAAAGCGAAACAUUGGCUUAUCAUAUGAGCCACCUGUCACUCUCCUAGGUAUUUAUCUAAAUGAAUUGAAAACUUAUGUCCACACAAAAACCUGCACAUGGAUGUUUAUAACAGCUUUACUCAUAAUUGCCAAAACUUGGAAGCAACCAGGAUGUCCUUCAGUAGGUGAAUGGGUAAACUAUGGUACAUCCAUACAAUAGAAUAUUAUUCAUUGAUAACAUGAAAUUAAUCUGAAAAAGAAUGGAUGUAUGUAUAUGUAUAACUGAACCACUUUGCUGUACACCUGAAACUAACACAAUGUUGUAAAUCAACUAUACCCCAAUAUAAAAUAAAAAUUAAAUUAAAAAAAGUGAAA